UUAGCUCUUUUCUCUUCUUCUCUUCAUGUUGGCUGAGGUUGUGGGCUGUGGGGAAGCUGCGAAAGAGGUGAAGGAGAGUCUCUGUGGUUAUAAACUUCAACCCUGGUUCAGGAAUUGGCUGAGCUUAAAGCUUUGGAUGCAGCUAUAGAGGUGUGGGAGGAAGUGUUUUGGCUAUGGUUCUUCAAUCCGAGCUCAGUAGAAACUGAGUUAGAACUUCGGAAGGUUCACAGCAGGUUAUUGGACUCUUUUGGCUGAGAUUUGUAAUCUUUGGAAGGUUGGUUUUGGUAUAUUCCAACCUGAAUUGAAGAGAAGAUUAUGUCUGGAUUCUAUACUAGGGUGCUUGAAGACUAGAAAAUAUCUUCACUUGCGGGAUCAACAAGAGUCGACAGCAAUUUGGUGGGUUGGACCUUACCAAAAUGG